rnacentral:rRNA from 1 species
UACAGAGGGGGCAAGCGUUGUUCGGAAUUACUGGGCGUAAAGGGCGUGUAGGCGGCCCGCUAAGUCGAACGUGAAAUCCCCAGGCUCAACCUGGGAACUGCGUCCGAUACUGGCAGGCUUGAAUCCGGGAGAGGGAUGUGGAAUUCCAGGUGUAGCGGUGAAAUGCGUAGAUAUCUGGAGGAACACCGGUGGCGAAGGCGGCAUCCUGGACCGGUAUUGACGCUGAGGCGCGAAAGCUAGGGGAGCAAACGGG